rnacentral:rRNA from 1 species
UACGGAGGGUGCGAGCGUUAAUCGGAAUUACUGGGCGUAAAGCGCGCGUAGGCGGUUCGUUAAGUCAGCCGUGAAAGCCCCGGGCUUAACCUGGGAACUGCGGAUGAUACUGGCGGACUAGAGUGUGGCAGAGGGUGGCGGAAUUUCCGGUGUAGCAGUGAAAUGCGUAGAGAUCGGAAGGAACACCAGUGGCGAAGGCGGCCAUCUGGGCCAACACUGACGCUGAGGUGCGAAAGCGUGGGGAGCAAACAGG